rnacentral:rRNA from 1 species
AUGGCCACCCCAGCUGCGACGCCGCCGGCGAAGAUGCGGGCGGUGCUGUACGACGCCUGCGGCGGAGGCUCCGCCGGCCUCAAGCAUGUGGAAGUCCCCGUCCCUUCAGCGAAGAAGAAUGAGGUCCUGUUGAAAGUAGAAGCUGCAGCCAUCAAUCCACUUGACUGCAAGAUACAGAAAGGGGACUUGCGGCCUCUGCUGCCUCGUAGACUGCCUUUUAUCCCAGUGACAGAUGUUGCAGGAGUAGUUGUGGGUGUCGGUCUUGGAGUGGAAGGUCUCAUAGUGGGGGAUCAAGUUGUGGCCAUGUUGAAGUCUCUUAACGGAGGCGGCCUCGCAGAGUACGCUGUUGCAUCCGCAAACCUGACUGUGAGAAGGCCACCGGAGGUUUGUGCGGCGGAGGGUGCCGGGCUUCCCAUUGCCGCAGGCACUGCGCUCCAGGCGCUGAGGUCCAUUGGUGCCAAGUUUCACCUCGACGGCGCCGGCAGCAAGCCUUUAAACGUGUUGAUCACCGCAGCCUCCGGCGGCGUAGGCCUGUACGCGGUGCAGCUUGCGAAGCUGGCCAACCUCCAUGUCACCGCCACCUGUGGCGCCCGCAACAUGGAUCUUGUCAAGGGCUUGGGCGCGGACGAGGUGAUGGACUACAGGACCCCGGAGGGGGCUAGCCUGCUGAGCCCGUCCGGCGCCAAGUACGAUGGCGUGGUUCACUGCACCGUCGGCGUCAGCUGGUCGUCAUUCCGGCCGUUGCUGAGCGACGCCGGGGGGAGAGUGAUAGACAUCACCCCAAACUUGUGGGCCAUCCUCAGAUAUAUCCUGCACGGGGUGACAUUCUCCAAGAAGCGCCUCGUGCCCCUGCUCGUGUCGCCCAACAAGGCAGACCUGGAGUUCUUGGUCGCCUUGCUCAGGGACGGCAAGCUCAAGACGGUGAUCGACUCGAGGUUCCCGUUGGGCGACGCGGGCAAGGCGUGGCAGACCAGUAUCGAAGGCCACGCGACUGGCAAGAUUGUCGUCGACACACAGAGCUAA